GCCACCUUGGCUCAGUUGGUAGAGCGGCGCUUUCGUAAAGCGCAGGUCCCGGGUUCGAGUCCCGGAGGUGGCU
rnacentral:tRNA from 1 species